rnacentral:rRNA from 1 species
CUACGGGUCGCUGCAGUGAGGAAUAUUGCACAAUGGGGGGAAUCCUGAUGCAGCAACGCCGCGUGGAGGAUGACGCAUUUCGGUGUGUAAACUCCUUUUAUAUGUCAAGAAAAUGACGGUAGCAUAUGAAUAAGCACCGGCUAACUCCGUGCCAGCAGCCGCGGUAAUACGGAGGGUGCAAGCGUUACUCGGAAUCACUGGGCGUAAAGGGCGCGUAGGCGGGUUGGAAAGUCAGGUGUGAAAUACUACAGCUUAACUGUAGAACUGCACUUGAAACUUCUAAUCUAGAGUAUGGGAGGGGGAGAUGGAAUUAGUGGUGUAGGGGUAAAAUCCGUAGAUAUCACUAGGAAUACCUAAAGCGAAGGCGAUCUCCUGGAACAUUACUGACGCUAAGGCGUGAAAGCGUGGGGAGCAAACAGGAUUAGAUACCCGUGUAGUC